rnacentral:sRNA from 1 species
GUGGUACACUUUUUCUAUUUGAUAGAAAGGCUUUGAGGUACUUUAGAAAGUAUGGAUAUAAUUGGAGAAAGAAAAAGGAUGGAAAGACUGUGAAAGAAGCUCAUGAAAAGUUGAAGUUAAUUUCUCUUAAGCCACAGUGGUGUCUAGUGCAAAGUGGCCCUUACCCACUAUGUGAAGUUGCUGUGGCAGGAUGAUUUGGUACAGUGGCAGUUGCAGACCUAAUAGCAGGUUGAACGUGGCCUUAUCAGGUGCUAUAAUGUCACUGUUGAUUCCAUGAUCCAUAUGAACAGAUAAAUUAAGGCUAUUUAUGUUAUUUAAUUUCUGUGGAGGGAGGGGAUGCUAUUCCCCAAGGCUCAUGAGGUGUAUGUAUAUAUUUUGGGUUUAU